CUGAACAACCCUUUUCUGAAUACUUUGGAAUUUCAGUUGAACGAAAAGCUGUCAUCUGAUCUGACCAAAGCUACAGAGAGACUACAGGUGAUUCUUAACCAGCUACACGAGCUGGAGGCAGAGAAACUGAUCCAAACCAAUCAGAUUGCGGCACUGGAGACUGAGCGCUUGCAGCUGAUAGGAGAGAAAGAGGAACUGAGGAAAACAUUUGAUGAUGGACUUCAUGAGAAGAUGAUAGAGCUGGGAGAGAGAUGCUGCCAGCACAGGUCGGACAACUCUGUCCAUUAUCUAACUUCAGUGUUGCUUGGAAAUGAUUAUUAAUAUUGACUGUACAGAUUUUUUUGGCUCUGAUCCAGGUUAUUAAUUCCAUAUAUACAGAGAAUUGCAGGACAAUCUAGAACAAGAAAAUCAGACUCUGCAAUUAAAAUGUCAAGACCUGGAAAAAAAAGUCAAAAUCUCGGAGGCGGGGUAUAAGCAUAAAGAGGAGGAGCAACAUCAAAUGAGGGCGGAGCUUGAGCAGGAAAAGGAGGAGUUGAGGAAACUGGCUGCUCACUGGAAUGAGAGGUGGCUGGAUGUGGCGAUGACGUUAUGCUCGACACAAGCAGAACUCGAUGAGCUCAAGAGUCAACAGCGAGUGAAUGACAACCGAGAGCCUGAAGUUUCGCAACAGAUAGAGCCUGAGAGGGACCAAAGCCAAGUGCAGCAGAGACUCACGGGUAGCUCUGUGUCUCUUGAAGUCGUGGAUGGAGAGUUGGUGCAGGUGAAGGCGGAGCUGCUGAAGGUGAGGGACAUGCUGAAAAUCAGAGACACUGAGCUGGAGGAACAGCUCCAGGAGCUGCAGUCUGCUCACCAUCAGGAGUCACAACAGAGCGAUGAGGUCCAGAGGUUGGAGCAGCUUCUUGCAAAGAGAGAUCAGGAAAUUAAAGAAAAGGAUCAAGAUCUGAAGAACCUGGAGAUACAGAGGAUAACACAGAAAGCAGAGGCUCAGAUCAAGAUAUCUGCCCUGGAGCAGGAGAUUUUUGGACACAAAGGUCUGCUGUCGAGAAAGGAAGUGGUCAAUGAAUGCAGUCCUGAGUCACUGAAGGCCCUGCUAGAAGAAAGCAGAAGGCGAGCAGAAACGCUUGAGCAGGAAAGAGACCGAACUUUACAAAAACGGCAGGAUCUUGAACCUCCCCAGCAGGACAAAACAGAGAAAGAAUCUCCAUUAGAGACUAAAAAACAGAAACCCGCGGGUUCGGACCUUGUAGAUCCAAACCAACAGAGGAGGCAGGUCACCGAGCAGGUGCUGCACCGUGUCCACAGUAAAACUCCUAAACACUUCAUCAGAAAAAGUGUUAUAGUA
rnacentral:lncRNA from 1 species